GAUGAACGCUAGCGGCAGGCUUAAUACAUGCAAGUCGUGGGGCAGCAGGUUUGUAGCAAUACAGAUGCUGGCGACCGGCAAACGGGUGCGGAACACGUACGCAACCUCCCUCUAACUGGAAGAUAGCCCACCGAAAGGUGGAUUAAUACUCCAUAACAUAUUGAAAAGGCAUCUUUUUGAUAUUAAAGCUCCGGCGGUUAGAGAUGGGCGUGCGUCUGAUUAGGUAGUUGGCGGGGUAACGGCCCACCAAGCCUGCGAUCAGUAGCUGAUGUGAGAGCAUGAUCAGCCACACGGGCACUGAGACACGGGCCCGACUCCUACGGGAGGCAGCAGUAAGGAAUAUUGGUCAAUGGACGCAAGUCUGAACCAGCCAUGCCGCGUGGAGGAUGAAGGUCCUCUGGAUUGUAAACUUCUUUUCUCUGGGACGAAACCCCCGAUUUCCAUCGGGCCUGACGGUACCAGAGGAAUAAGCACCGGCUAACUCCGUGCCAGCCGCCGCCGUAAGAC
rnacentral:rRNA from 1 species